AUUGAACGCUGGCGGCAUGCUUUACACAUGCAAGUCGAACGGCAGCGCGGGCUUCGGCCUGGCGGCGAGUGGCGAACGGGUGAGUAAUGCAUCGGAACGUGCCCAGUAGUGGGGGAUAGCCCGGCGAAAGCCGGAUUAAUACCGCAUACGACCUGAGGGUGAAAGCGGGGGACCGAAAGGCCUCGCGCUAUUGGAGCGGCCGAUGUCGGAUUAGCUAGUUGGUGGGGUAAAGGCUUACCAAGGAGACGAUCCGUAGCUGGUCUGAGAGGACGACCAGCCAAACUGGGACUGAGACACGGCCCAGACUCCUACGGGAGGCAGCAGUGGGGAAUUUUGGACAAUGGGGGCAACCCUGAUCCAGCCAUGCCGCGUGCGGGAAGAAGGCCUUCGGGUUGUAAACCGCUUUUGUUCGGGAAGAAAUCCUCUGGGCUAAUACCCCGGGGGGAUGACGGUACCGGAAGAAUAAGCACCGGCUAACUACGUG
rnacentral:rRNA from 1 species